rnacentral:rRNA from 1 species
AGUCGAACGAUGAAGCUUCUAGCUUGCUAGAAGUGGAUUAGUGGCGCACGGGUGAGUAAGGUAUAGUUAAUCUGCCCUACACAAGAGGACAACAGUUGGAAACGACUGCUAAUACUCUAUACUCCUGCUUAACACAAGUUGAGUAGGGAAAGUUUUUCGGUGUAGGAUGAGACUAUAUAGUAUCAGCUAGUUGGUAAGGUAAUGGCUUACCAAGGCUAUGACGCUUAACUGGUCUGAGAGGAUGAUCAGUCACACUGGAACUGAGACACGGUCCAGACUCCUACGGGAGGCAGCAGUAGGGAAUAUUGCGCAAUGGGGGAAACCCUGACGCAGCAACGCCGCGUGGAGGAUGACACUUUUCGGAGCGUAAACUCCUUUUCUUAGGGAAGAAUUCUGACGGUACCUAAGGAAUAAGCACCGGCUAACUCCGUGCCAGCAGCCGCGGUAAUACGGAGGGUGCAAGCGUUACUCGGAAUCACUGGGCGUAAAGGGCGCGUAGGCGGAUUAUCAAGUCUCUUGUGAAAUCUAAUGGCUUAACCAUUAAACUGCUUGGGAAACUGAUAGUCUAGAGUGAGGGAGAGGCAGAUGGAAUUGGUGGUGUAGGGGUAAAAUCCGUAGAUAUCACCAAGAAUACCCAUUGCGAAGGCGAUCUGCUGGAACUCAACUGACGCUAAGGCGCGAAAGCGUGGGGAGCAAACAGGAUUAGAUACCCUGGUAGUCCACGCCCUAAACGAUGUACACUAGUUGUUGGGGUGCUAGUCAUCUCAGUAAUGCAGCUAACGCAUUAAGUGUACCGCCUGGGGAGUACGGUCGCAAGAUUAAAACUCAAAGGAAUAGACGGGGACCCGCACAAGCGGUGGAGCAUGUGGUUUAAUUCGAAGAUACGCGAAGAACCUUACCUGGGCUUGAUAUCCUAAGAACCUUAUAGAGAUAUGAGGGUGCUAGCUUGCUAGAACUUAGAGACAGGUGCUGCACGGCUGUCGUCAGCUCGUGUCGUGAGAUGUUGGGUUAAGUCCCGCAACGAGCGCAACCCACGUAUUUAGUUGCUAACGGUUCGGCCGAGCACUCUAAAUAGACUGCCUUCGUAAGGAGGAGGAAGGUGUGGACGACGUCAAGUCAUCAUGGCCCUUAUGCCCAGGGCGACACACGUGCUACAAUGGCAUAUACAAUGAGACGCAAUACCGCGAGGUGGAGCAAAUCUAUAAAAUAUGUCCCAGUUCGGAUUGUUCUCUGCAACUCGAGAGCAUGAAGCCGGAAUCGCUAGUAAUCGUAGAUCAGCCAUGCUACGGUGAAUACGUUCCCGGGUCUUGUACUCACCGCCCGUCACACCAUGGGAGUUGAUUUCACUCGAAGCCGGAAUACUAA